rnacentral:rRNA from 2 species
AUGGUUAAGUUAGAAAGGGCGCACGGUGAAUGCCUUGGCACUAGGAGCCGAUGAAGGACGGGACUAACACCGAUAUGCUUCGGGGAGCUGUAAGUGAGCUUUGAUCCGGAGAUUUCCGAAUGGGGAAACCCACUGUUCGUAAUGGAACAGUAUCUUUAUCUGAAUACAUAGGAUAUUGAAGGCAGACCCGGGGAACUGAAACAUCUAAGUACCCGGAGGAAGAGAAAGCAAAUGCGAUUUCCUGAGUAGCGGCGAGCGAAACGGAAUUAGCCCAAACCAAGAGGCUUGCCUCUUGGGGUUGUAGGACACUCUAUACGGAGUUACAAAGGAACGAAGUAAAUGAAGCGACCUGGAAAGGUCCGUCGAAGAAGGUAACAACCCUGUAGUUGAAACUUCGUUCCCUCUUGAGUGGAUCCUGAGUACGGCGGAACACGUGAAAUUCCGUCGGAAGCUGGGAGGACCAUCUCCCAAGGCUAAAUACUACCUAGUGACCGAUAGUGAACCAGUACCGUGAGGGAAAGGUGAAAAGCACCCCGGAAGGGGAGUGAAAGAGAUCCUGAAACCGUGUGCCUACAAGUAGUCAGAGCCCGUUAACGGGUGAUGGCGUGCCUUUUGUAGAAUGAACCGGCGAGUUACGAUCCCAUGCAAGGUUAAGCUGAUAAGGCGGAGCCGUAGCGAAAGCGAGUCUGAAUAGGGCGUUUAGUAUGUGGUUGUAGACCCGAAACCAGGUGAUCUACCCAUGUCCAGGGUGAAGUUCAGGUAACACUGAAUGGAGGCCCGAACCCACGCACGUUGAAAAGUGCGGGGAUGAGGUGUGGGUAGCGGAGAAAUUCCAAUCGAACCUGGAGAUAGCUGGUUCUCUCCGAAAUAGCUUUAGGGCUAGCCUCAUGUUGUGAGAGUCUUGGAGGUAGAGCACUGAUUGGACUAGGGGCCCCCAACGGGUUACCGAAUUCAGUCAAACUCCGAAUGCCAAAGACUUAUCCAUGGGAGUCAGACUGCGAGUGAUAAGAUCCGUAGUCAAAAGGGAAACAGCCCAGACCACCAGCUAAGGUCCCCAAGUAUACGUUAAGUGGAAAAGGAUGUGGAGUUGCUUAGACAACCAGGAUGUUGGCUUAGAAGCAGCCACCAUUUAAAGAGUGCGUAAUAGCUCACUGGUCGAGUGACUCUGCGCCGAAAAUGUACCGGGGCUAAACGUAUCACCGAAGCUGUGGAUUGACAUCUUUGAUGUCAGUGGUAGGAGAGCGUUCUAAGUGCUGUGAAGUCAGACCGUAAGGACUGGUGGAGCGCUUAGAAGUGAGAAUGCCGGUAUGAGUAGCGAAAGACAAGUGAGAAUCUUGUCCACCGAAUGCCUAAGGUUUCCUGAGGAAGGCUCGUCCGCUCAGGGUUAGUCGGGACCUAAGCCGAGGCUGAAAAGCGUAGGCGAUGGCCAACAGGUUGAUAUUCCUGUACCACCUCCCCGCCGUUUGAGUAAUGGGGGACGCAGUAGGAUAGGGUAAGCGCGCUGCUGGAUAUGCGCGUUCAAGCAGUUAGGCUGAUGAGUAGGCAAAUCCGCUCAUCAUAAAGGCUGAGCUGUGAUGACGAGGGAAUUAUAGUACCGAAGUUCCUGAUUCCACACUGCCAAGAAAAGCCUCUAGCGAGGCGGGAGGUGCCCGUACCGCAAACCGACACAGGUAGGCGAGGAGAGAAUCCUAAGGUGAUCGAGAGAACUCUCGUUAAGGAACUCGGCAAAAUGACCCCGUAACUUCGGGAGAAGGGGUGCUCUGGUAGGGUGUAUAGCCCGAGAGAGCCGCAGUGAAUAGGCCCAGGCGACUGUUUAGCAAAAACACAGGUCUCUGCGAAGCCGCAAGGCGAAGUAUAGGGGCUGACGCCUGCCCGGUGCUGGAAGGUUAAGAGGAGGGUUAUCCUUUGGGAGAAGCUCUGAAUCGAAGCCCCAGUAAACGGCGGCCGUAACUAUAACGGUCCUAAGGUAGCGAAAUUCCUUGUCGGGUAAGUUCCGACCCGCACGAAAGGCGUAACGAUCUGGGCACUGUCUCAACGAGAGACUCGGUGAAAUUAUAGUACCUGUGAAGAUGCAGGUUACCCGCGACAGGACGGAAAGACCCCGUGGAGCUUUACUGUAGCCUGAUAUUGAAUUUUGGUACAGCUUGUACAGGAUAGGUAGGAGCCUGAGAAACCGGAGCGCUAGCUUCGGUGGAGGCGUCGGUGGGAUACUACCCUGGCUGUAUUGAAAUUCUAACCCGCGGCCCUGAUCGGGCCGGGAGACAGUGUCAGGUGGGCAGUUUGACUGGGGCGGUCGCCUCCUAAAAUGUAACGGAGGCGCCCAAAGGUUCCCUCAGAAUGGUUGGAAAUCAUUCGUAGAGUGUAAAGGCACAAGGGAGCUUGACUGCGAGACCUACAAGUCGAGCAGGGACGAAAGUCGGGCUUAGUGAUCCGGUGGUUCCGCAUGGAAGGGCCAUCGCUCAACGGAUAAAAGCUACCCCGGGGAUAACAGGCUUAUCUCCCCAAGAGUCCACAUCGACGGGGAGGUUUGGCACCUCGAUGUCGGCUCAUCGCAUCCUGGGGCUGUAGUCGGUCCCAAGGGUUGGGCUGUUCGCCCAUUAAAGCGGUACGCGAGCUGGGUUCAGAACGUCGUGAGACAGUUCGGUCCCUAUCCGUCGUGGGCGUAGGAAAUUUGAGAGGAGCUGUCCUUAGUACGAGAGGACCGGGAUGGACACACCGCUGGUGUACCAGUUGUCUUGCCAAAGGCAUCGCUGGGUAGCUAUGUGUGGACGGGAUAAGUGCUGAAAGCAUCUAAGCAUGAAGCCCCCCUCAAGAUGAGAUUUCCCAUAGCGUAAGCUAGUAAGAUCCCUGAAAGAUGAUCAGGUUGAUAGGUCAGAGGUGGAAGCGUGGCGACAUGUGUAGCUGACUGAUACUAAUCGAUCGAGGACUUAACCAAAC